rnacentral:rRNA from 1 species
AGCUCCAAUAGCGUAUAUUAAAGUUGUUGCAGUUAAAAAGCUCGUAGUUGGAUUUCUGGCAGGAGUGACCGGCCGCACACACUGUGUGCGAGUUGCGUCAUUCUGGCCAUCCUUGGUGAGAUCCUGUUUGGCAUUAAGUUGUCGGGCAGGGGAUAACCAUCGUUUACUGUGAAAAAAUUAGAGUGUUUAAAGCAGGCUUAUGCCGUUGAAUAUAUUAGCAUGGAAUAAUAAGAUAGGACUUUGAGUCUAUUUUGUUGGUUUGCGAGUCAAAGUAAUGAUUAAUAGGGACAGUUGGGGGUAUUCGUAUUUCAUUGUCAGAGGUGAAAUUCUUGGAUUUCUGAAAGACGAACUACUGCGAAAGCAUUUACCAAGGAUGUUUUCAUUA